UACGAAGGGUGCAAACGUUAUUCGGAAUCACUGGGCGUAAAGGGUGCGUAGCCGGUAUGUUAAGUUCGUUGUUAAAGGCUCCGGCCUAACCGGAGUACCGCAAUGAAAACUGGCGUGCUAGAGGGUGAGAGAGAGAAGUGGAAUUCCCGGAGUAGCGGUAAAAUGCGUGGAUCUCGGGAGGAACACCAAUGGCGAAGGCAGCUUCUUGGCUCAUUCCUGACGUUGAGGCACGAAAGCGUGGGGAGCAAACAGG
rnacentral:rRNA from 1 species